AGUGAACGCUGGCGGUAGGCCUAACACAUGCAAGUCGAACGGCAGCACAGGAGAGCUUGCUCUCUGGGUGGCGAGUGGCGGACGGGUGAGGAAUACAUCGGAAUCUACUAUGUCGUGGGGGAUAACGUAGGGAAACUUACGCUAAUACCGAAUACGACCUACGGGUGAAAGCAGGGGACGUUCGGGCCUUGCGCGAUUGAAUGAGCCGAUGUCGGAUUAGCUAGUUGGCGGGGUAAAGGCCCACCAAGGCGACGAUCCGUAGCUGGUCUGAGAGGAUGAUAAGCCACACUGGAACUGAGACACGGUCCAGACUCCUACGGGAGGCAGCAGUGGGGAAUAUUGGACAAUGGGCGCAAGCCUGAUCCAGCCAUACCGCGUGGGUGAAGAAGGCCUUCGGGUUGUAAAGCCCUUUUGUUGGGAAAGAAAUCCAGCUGGCUAAUACCCGGUUGGGAUGACGGUACCCAAAGAAUAAGCACCGGCUAACUUCGUGCCAGCCGCCGCCGUAA
rnacentral:rRNA from 1 species